AUUGAACGCUGGCGGAAUGCUUUACACAUGCAAGUCGAACGGUAGAGGGGGCAACCCCUCGAGAGUGGCGAACGGGUGAGUAAUAUAUCGGAACGUGCCCAGUCGUGGGGGAUAACGUAGCGAAAGUUACGCUAAUACCGCAUACGAUCUACGGAUGAAAGCGGGGGAUCGCAAGACCUCGCGCGAUUGGAGCGGCCGAUAUCAGAUUAGGUAGUUGGUGAGGUAAAGGCUCACCAAGCCAACGAUCUGUAGCUGGUCUGAGAGGACGACCAGCAACACUGGAACUGAGAAACGGUCCAGACUCCUACGGGAGUCAGCAGUGGGGAAUGUUGGACAAUGGACGCAAGUCUGAUCCAGCCAUUCCGCGUGCAGGAUGAAGGCCCUCGGGUUGUAAACUGCUUUUGUACGGAACGAAAAGGUCUCUCUUAAUACGGGGGACUCAUGACGGUACCGUAAGAAUAAGCACCGGCUAACUACGUGCCAGCCGCCGCCGUAA
rnacentral:rRNA from 1 species